rnacentral:lncRNA from 1 species
UAAGACAAUGUCCUUAAGUUAGUCUUGGAUUUUAAAUGGCCGGUUCAGCCUAAUGUAUCACUUCCUGUGACCAGGAUGGCAGCAAAAAAGACCAUAUUGCACAACUGAUUUUGAAUUUUGUGAAUUUUAAGCUCAUGUGAAGCAGGAAAUUUAAGUGUUAUUUAUAAUAAGUAUAGCCAAGAAGGUAUACCUCCUUUCUCAAGUCUUAGAAGGAAUAUUGCUGUGCUUUCUGAAUUAGAGAAAAUAAGACUGCCUUUAUUUAUUUAUUUUGAUUCUUUACUGUUUUUGUCAGUCAGGGAAAUUCUAGAGACAGGUUGGUAUUAUUUAAGAAAACUGAAAUCCAUCAAUUAUAUUAAUUAUCUUAAAAUCUUCAGACCAAAAAAAUUUCCCUUAACUUCUUUAUUUGAAUUUUUGUAAAUAUUUUCUUAUAGUCUGAUAUUUAUGGUACAAAAUUUAUUCAUACUAGUUAUUAAAAUAAAUACAUAUUUGUUUAAGACUCUUUCCUGUCCUGCUUGGUAGUGGUCUUAUACUUUUGGUGGUUGUUGUAGUCGCAAAACACAAACUGGAAAACUUUUUUUUUUAAUUUUAUUGAAGUAUAGUUGAGUUACAGUGUUGUGAUAGUGUCUAUUGUACAGCAAAGUGAUUCAGUUGUACGUAUACACACAUCCAUUCUUUUUCAGAUUCUUUUCCCGUAUAGGUUAUCACAGAAUAUUGGGUAGAGUUCUCUAAGCUCUACAGCAGGUCUCCACUGGCUAAUCAUUUUCCCUUUGUAUUUAAAACAAACAAAUAAAAAACCCUCUUGCCAAAGUGUAUAAAGGGAACAUAUCUUAACAUAAUAAAAGCCAUUUAUGACAAACUCGCAGCAAAUAUAAUACUCAAUGGAGAAAAGCCUAAAGACUUCCCACUCAAAUCUGGAACAAGACAAGGAUGCCCACUCUUUCCACUGUUAUUCAACAUAGUAUUGGAAGUCCUAGCCACAGCAGCCAGACAAACAAAAGAAAUAAAAGGCCUCCAAAUUAGAAGAGAGGAGGUAAAACUGUCACUGUUUGCAGAUGACAUGAUAACUAUAUAUGGAAAAUUCUAAGGACUCAACCCAAAAACUACUUGAACUGAUCAACAAAUUCAGCAAAGUAGCAGGAUAUGAUUAACACUCAGAAAUCAGUCGCAUUUCUGUAGACUAACAAUGAAAUAUUAGAAAAGGAAUACAAAAAUACAAUACCUUUUAAAGUUGCACCCCAAAAAAUCAAAUACCUGGGCAUACACCUGAACAAGAAGGUAAAGGACUUAUAUGCCAAGAACUAUAACACAUUAAUCAAGGAAAUUAAAGAAGAUGUAAAGAAAUGGAAAGAUAUUCCAUGCUCCUAGGUUGGAAAAAUUAAUAUUGUAAAAAUGGCCGUACUACCCAAAGCAAUCUACAUAUUCAAUGCAAUUGCUACCAAAUUACCCAUGACAUUUUUCGCAGAACUAGAACAAACAAUCACUAUAAAAGCAUUUCAACUGGUAUAUUUGGUAAGUUUUGUAUUCUGGUUACUGGGUAUUCAGGUUACUCUACCAUAGAGGUCUAAAUUCUAAAGAGUUAUUACUGAAACUAAAAUCAGUGAAUGACUUGAACUUAACUUCUCUACGGAGUUUAAGGGACUUUAAGUAUCUUUGAGCAUCUUGAAUGAAUAUUUGAAUAUCAUCAUGUUAUAGAGUAUUUUAGAUGUAGAAAAGGUUUUUUUUUUUUUGAUGUUCCUUUUUGAAAUAUACUUUGGUAUCACUUUAUUUCUCAUAAUUUUUGAAUCAUAGAAAAUCCCAUUGUUUGUAUAUUUUAGGCAUAUGAAGUUUAAUACUGGAAAUAUAUACUGCAAAAAGAGAAAAUAAAGUAAUAAUAUGAAAACAUAUAUAAGAUAUUAAAGAAAUUUUAAGGAAAUCUCGCAGAUAACUUGCAAUACUCAUUUUCAACAUUUAGCUUGUGUUUUUAAAGGGUAUGGCAGAAUGUAUAGAGUAUUUGAAUUUUACAUUAAAAUAAUUGUCCAUGGCCAAAUACACUUUUGUCAUGUGUUCCUUUGGUUCCACAGUGUUUUUUGUUUGUUUUGCUCUUUGUUUUGAGGCCAACACUUAUAAUAAAGAUUUCGCAUAAAAAUUCUCAGAUUGCUAGCUUUUAUUGAAAAUGUUGAUGCAGAGAAAAGGAUGUUCUUAUAAUUCACAGACCCUGUCCUCUUACACACCCUUGUUAUAUGCCUUGUCUCUCUGUUUCAUUGACUUACAGAGAGCUAGGUGUAGUUUUGUAGUGGUGGAUGAGUUCUCGAGCCAUAUGGGGUGGGGUCAGAUUCUGGCUUUGACACUUAACUAGUUGUGUGACUGUAAACAAAUUCCUUAAUCUCUCUGUAUCUCCGUUUUCUGUUUGGUAAAAUGAAAAUGAUGAUGGGUUGUUAGGAUGAAAUGAUGAGUGUACAUGAAGUGUUUUAGAGUAGUUUUUAUCACAUACUUAUUGCUCAAUAGAUGUUAACUGCAAUUAAUAAUGCUUUUUUGCCUGACCCCAUUAGGUAUUUAAGUUUGGUGAUCCUUACUUCUCCAUAGUAAAGGAUUUUAUGUUUUAAUCUGCUCAUUCAUCUGAUCAGUAGUAUUUAUCAGAUUCUCUGUUGUAGUAUAAUUAUCUUUAUUUUGCUAUCUUCUACCAAAUUAGAUUCCCCAGAGUUCCAUCUCUGUGGUUAGCGUUCCAUGUGUGUUAAUUGAUUUGUACUUAUAAGAAGUAAGAACUGACAAUUUCAGAUUUAUGGAUUUAGGAUUUAUGGCUUUACAAAUUCUUACUGUCCAUUGGAAACAAAAGUUCUGCUUUCCCAAGUGUUGGUUUUUCCUAACCCUCUGCCUCUUUUGUUUUAACUGUAAUUCCAGUGGGAAAGGAUUUGUUAACAUCUGACCAUGAGUGAAGUGGCUGAGAGUUAGAGGGUUCUGAUAAAAAUCAGAUGAUAUUCCACAGUGAUUUUACAAAGUGAGAGUUUUAGAAAGAAAGUAAAAUAAAGGAGCAUUGUGUGUUGGGAAAAUAUUGGUCAAGGAUUUGUGUGUUCAUGGACUUCUGGAAUUUUUCUCUGGAAGUGGAGACUAUAUCCUGUAAAAUUACAUACUCAUUUUGCUUGGACUUGCUUUUCCAGUUUAGCAUUCCACCUUUCCUCUUCCUAUCAUGUCCUCCGCUCUUGAAAUUGAAAAUAAUAUGUUACUUAUAUUAUUUUGGAUGAAAAUUAGUGAACCCAGUCUGUUUUUUGAAAGAUUCUGAUUUCAGAAGGUCAUUUGUACUUUAUGUACAUAAAAAAAUUAUAAGUAGUUAGGACCGCUUGGAAGUUAAAAAAAAAUGUAAUUUCGGAGUUCCCGUCGUGGCGCAGUGGUUAACGAAUCCAACUAGGAACCAUGAGGUUGCGGGUUCGGUCCCUGCCCUUGCUCAGUGGGUUAACGAUCCGGCGUUGCCGUGAGCUGUGGUGUAGGUUGCAGACGCGGCUCGGAUCCCAUGUUGCUGUGGCUCUGGCUUAGGCCGGUGGCUACAGCUCUGAUUCAACCCCUAGCCUGGGAACCUCCAUAUGCCGCGGGAGUGGCCCAAGAAAUAGCAAAAAAAGACCAAAAAAAAAAAAA